rnacentral:lncRNA from 1 species
CCCGGCUCCUGUGCGUCCCGCGUGUUGUCGCCUUCUCUCCGGUCGUGGCGUGGGGUUUCGGAGUCGUCCCCAUCCCAGCUUCAGGUCUGCUACGACCUGGGUCACGGUGCUUGUCGGGAGCGUGGAAUGAAAACGCUUACCGGGGCGGGAGACGUAAGUCCCGGCGCCGCGGAUGGCGGCCUCUCGGCCUCUGGUGGCCGCGGGAUGCGCGUCCUGUGGGGCAGGCGUUUUGAGAGUGCACCCGGGAGCACGGUGCUGACCCCGUAAGCGGCGUCACCGCAGCCCACCUGCCCAGCGUGGGAAUCAAGCGUUUGCCAGCACGCACGAGACAUAAUCUUGGGGUGAGGGGUCGCUUCUGUCGGUUUGCGGUCCUGGGAUUGAACCCAGGCCCCUCACACUGAACUACGGCCUGAGCCCUUGUUAUUUUGAGACAGAGUCUCGCGGGCCAGGCUCCCUUAGACUCCUCCUGAUUCCAGCCUCCCAGGGUGCUGGGAUUACAGACUACUCCACUACCACAUCGGGCUGCUUCGCCUCUUGGUAAAGCCUAAUGGACAGAACAGGUGUGUUAGCUGUGUUGAUUGAUUGACCCUACCUCUCUUAGAACCAAAGAAUUUGGGUUCAGAAUGAUCCUUAUCUUGUGUAAACUGUAAGGUAUCCUUAAAUCAUGGGGAGUUCCAUGUACAUAAAACUGAUCUUUAUUCUUUUUAUGGCCUCGUUAUGAAGUUACUGAGUUACUAAAUGCCAAAACACCAUUCCAAAUGCUGACCAGAUGAAACUCCUUAACUUUCACUACCCAGAUGUUACAGUCUAACUGGGGAGACAGGCUACCGAGUAAACCUCCACCGUGAAGUGUAACUACUGCUUUGUAGGAAAAAUCCAAUUGCAUCUAGCACACGGUGGCAGCACUGAGGGCAGGAACGCUUUGUAAGGGCGGAAACGGACAGGGUGAGUCAGGAGUCAGUGUGGCAAAGGAGAAUGGUAAGGAGGGAGCAGGUCAGAGGGUGUUUAAAGGAGAGCUACGUGCAAAGUAAAGCUGCGGGGGAAAACCUUCCUCGUGAAAAGCUGGUGCUUCAGCUGCAGGGGAAGAAGACACACCGCUGAACAGUGAGGACGAUGACUGGGGACCAGAGGACCCGCAACCCAAAACUUUGCCAUCACCUUCGCUCUUCUGACAUUUUAAUCCAGGAAUUGCCGGUUAUAGAACCGUCCUCUGGGACAGGCGGUUCGAGUGUGCCUGAAGUCAUUUUGCAAAACAACCAACCAAAAGGCCUUUGACGUCGGAGAGGAUGUAUGUGGGGCAGAAGAACUAACUACGAGAAUCCUGUGCUCACAACAUCUGCAGCUACAACUCGGAGACAUCAUACAGGCAUUUACUGGGUGUGAGCAAUCAGCAUGUUACAGGUCUGACUAGUUUGCAGCUCCAGUGGGCUGCCUGAGGGUUCGGAAGACAGGUUUCACAAAGAAAAAUCACUGUCACCUCAGCUUCAGACAACCACUAAAUUCUGCCUACGAAUCUUGUAGGAGGCGCUUCAUAUCCAUGGAGCAAAUGUGAGCAUAAAGAAAUGGUGUUGGGACAAACAGCCAUCUGUAAGUAAAGUUGGAAGUAUACCUCAUACUGUACCAAAACGAAUUUCUGAUAGAGAAAACAUAAAUGUUAAAAACUUUGAUCAGAAAAUAUAUAUAGCCCAGGGGUGAUGGUGCAUGCCCAUAAUCCCAAGCACUCUGGGAAACUGAGGCAUGAGAUCCCAAGUUUGAGCCCAGCCUGCACAAUUUGGUGAUUGUCACUCAUUCUACCACUAAGCUACACCCACCAUCCUCUGUGUGUGUGUGUGUGUGCGUGCCGCAGCGUGCCGCACGCGAGCGAGCGUGUGUGUGUGUGUGUGUGUGUGUGUGUGUGUGGUCUUGUUGUUGUUUUUAUUUUCUAGUACUGGUGUUGCAUCCAGGUUGAGCAGCCCACCAGGAUCAGAAACUCAGCAGCAAUAACAAAUUAAAGGGAUGGAGUUUAAGAAGGGAAGCCGAUUUAUUUGUAAGGAGGAAAAAAUAGAAGACACAAAGCUGCCAGGAUAGAGAGCAGGGGCUGCAGAUGAUAUGUGUGUGUCGUCGUGUGUGUCGGGGGGGUCCGCCCCUGCCCCAGCCCUGGUCCCAGGCUCCUUUUGUUAGGUCUGGGGACCCUUCCUUUCGGGUGGGUGGUAACCUGAUCAGUCUCUGGGCGGUCUUUGGGUGGACUCCAGGUCCCCAGAUCCUAACCUGGGUACUUUUGCCUGUGUGCACAAUCCUUUCGGUGGGCUUUCUUUCACUUCUUGCCCUGUUGUGAUCUGCAAGUUGUUGGGAAGGGAUCCUUUUAAGGUUAGUGACUAAGUAAAGGCGUGUGUGUAUAUCUAGUGCAGUAAUAUUGUGCCUCUACAGUGUUUUUAAAUACUAAAUAAAUUUUCUUGUAAAUUAGGUAGCCAUCCCUUGUCUCCCUGACAUUUUAUUGGGGGGAGUGGUGUCCUGGUUUUCAUGCUUCCGGCUUCCUUCCUGCCCCGCCUAGGGUUCUUCUAAUCUCUCCACUAGAGAGCAUUCCUCCCUUGGCUGUAAAUUCUUAUGCUAAUCACACUAUCCGGUGCUUUCUAAGUCUGAUUUCUCUUUCUCUACCUUUGUCCUUUUAAGUGCACAAAUCCAACUGCCAAG